UACGUAGGGUGCAGGCGUUAAUCGGAAUUACUGGGCGUUAAGCGUGCGCAGGCGGUCUUUUAAGUCAGAUGUGAAAUCCCCGGGCUUAACCUGGGAACUGCGUUUGAAACUGGAAGGCUAGAGUGUGGCAGAGGGGGGUGGAAUUCCACGUGUAGCAGUGAAAUGCGUAGAGAUGUGGAGGAAUACCGAUGGCGAAGGCAGCCCCCUGGGAUAACACUGACGCUCAUGCACGAAAGCGUGGGGAGCAAACAGG
rnacentral:rRNA from 1 species